GGGGAAUUAGCUCAGGGGUAGAGCGCCUGAUUCGCAUUCAUGAAGUCGGGAGUUCGAUUCUCCCAUUCUCCA
rnacentral:tRNA from 1 species